CGAGCUUGUUGAGCUUCGGUGUGAAAAUCUCAACAAGUUCAAAACAUAGCUUUUUUAACUAGGGUUUUGGAAUGAUUUCUCCAGAGUAACGGCGCAGAAAUUCGGAUCCCUACUUCAUCCCUAGAGGUCCUUAUUUAUAGCGUUUUUGUACGAGGUUCAAUCUCUCCUCUCUUUCAUGAGCUGUCAAAUUGGUGGGAGAAUCAUUCCGUUAGGUAGCAGAAUUUCUCAGAGUUAGUGGUGCUUCAAAUCGGUGUGGUCCUUCAAAUGCUUUACUCUUCUCAAUCUCCCACCAACGGUUCAUGAUGACUUGUGCAUCACACUUCUGAAAUGGUUAUCAAGGUUGGAACAUCGCAUCGGUUUCAUUCACUGCAGUUAGCUUAAUUAAUCCAUAGAGUGGAGGUUUACAAUAUUCACGUAUCGAUGCGGUUUUGGCCAAUGGUUGUAGGCUUGUGCUCCGUGAUUCUAUUACCAUGAGGUUGGUGCUUUUGUAAGGAUGCAUUUGUGAUAUGCAGGUUUGGAUAUUGAUUCCCAUAUCCUUGCUUGGAAAUCUAAUUUGACAGUCUUAUUAGCCUCAAAAACUGUUUCCAAUGAAUUUCCCUGGAAAGCAACCAAUCAACAGAGCAACACAGAAGCGCUUCAGCACUCCCAAUAUCAACCUUCUCAGAGUGUUUGCCCGACAAUACUUCGGGGCAACCUAUGCAGGGCUUUCAGCCAAUCCAGUCAAGUUUUGACCUUCCCAAAUUCUCAUAUUGAGUUCAAAAUCUGUAGGCUUUAACUUUCUUGAUUUUUCAGGUUUGAUAUCUCUGUGCACGACUCUUGCGAGUCUUUGUUGCUGCUGAUGCAUUGCUGGAUGUUUGUUAUGAUGUAUUUCGGCUAGUGGUUGUGGUAUGCAGGUUUUUCCAUGUGCGAUUCUGAUGAAAACCAGGUGGUUCUGCAUCAAAUUCUUCCUGCAUUGCUUGCCGGUUAUGCGCGACUAAGGACUUGUUGGCGAGGUUGCAGACCUUCACUUUUGAUGUCCAUUCGCCAUGUUCAGAACAAUUCUCACCCUAUCACAUUUGCUUGUAAUACAUAGUGCCUUAGGGUAGGUCAUUCAUCUGUGCUCAACCGUGUAUGUACUUCAUAAUUCGAGGCAUAUACGGACUGCCCAUAAUUGGAAUAACUGUAUGCCAUACUUGUUGAUUUGUGAAUGUAAUCGUAAUUUUAGCACGUAAAUUUUGCCACUGCAUUGUUAUUAUAGCUUCCACCGUGAAUUACAGUGGGCCAAAAGGUGAAAUA